UUAUCUGCCACAAGGCUAACUUCCCAGUCAUUACUAAAACAAUACCUGUAAUGACAAUUUCUGAAGCAACAACAUAUGUCCUGCCCGGCAUAGCAUAAAAAUGUGCCUAGCCACCGCUAGAUCGACCUCCUCCUCUUGGACGACCCAUAGCUGCCUAAUAUCCACCCUUAGCUGGCUGGCCGGGUGAUGAAGUAAUUGGUCAGAAGUCGAAGGUUGACCCCUCUCCCUACGCUGACUACUACAAAGUCGAGGGAACUGCCUCCUCAAGUGACCAAACUCUUCGCACUCAUAACAGCUACCCGGUGCUGGAGAUGGGGACUGAAGGGAACCCCUCACACGGGAGUGACUAGCAGAUGCACUCGGCACAGAAGAACCCUAAGUUGAUGGGUCAUGAGCUGGGAGGGCGCUGAGGGAAGACUGACCAUGCUGGGACCCAUGACGAACAGGGCUUGAAGAUCCCCCCACGAUACUCUGAAUGGGCCGAUUGAGAAGGCCUAAAAGAACGACCUCUACCAUGUUGAAACUGGCCCUUUAAAAGAGCUCCACUAUAACUGCCUGAUCCACGAGGCCUCUUGGCCUCCCUCUCCUCUUGCUCUCUACGGCAAACUGACUCGAUAUCACGAGCGAUAUCCACCACCUCCUCAAUCGUAGCACCCAAUGCUCUCUCUAGUCAUCAAAAUUCGGAGAUAAUGGUUAAGGCCAUCCACAAAUCUCCUGAUCCUCACACAAUCUGACAGAACCAUCUAACUAGCAUGAUGGGCUAACUGUGAAACCAUCUCGUACUGAGUCACUGUCAUAUCCCCGUGCGUCAACCACUCAAACUGCCUACACAACUCCUCUCUGCGGGAUUGAGGUACAUACUUCUCUAGGAAAAGAGCGGAGAAGUGCUUCCAAGAAAGAAGUGCUUCACCGACAGGCCUACGCCUCUCAAAGUCCUCCCACCAAGUAACAGUAGCCCCAGUAAACUGAAAGGCGGUAAAUGUCAUAGCGCUCAACUCAAGGAUCCGCUCUGUAUGGAGCAUACGCUGACACUUGUCAAGAAAACCCUUGGAAUCCUUGCUCUCAACAUCGUUGAAUAUUGGAAGCUGGAGCCUACCG
rnacentral:lncRNA from 1 species